rnacentral:rRNA from 1 species
UAGGGAAUCUUCCGCAAUGGACGCAAGUCUGACGGAGCAACGCCGCGUGAGUGAAGAAGGAUUUCGGUUCGUAAAACUCUGUUGUUAGAGAAGAACAGCGCAUAGAGUAACUGUUAUGCGUGUGACGGUAUCUAACCAGAAAGCCACGGCUAACUACGUGCCAGCAGCCGCGGUAAUACGUAGGUGGCAAGCGUUGUCCGGCUUUAUUGGGCGUAAAGCGAGCGCAGGCGGUCAAUUAAGUCUGAUGUGAAAGCCCCCGGCUCAACCGGGGAGGGUCAUUGGAAACUGGUUGACUUGAGUGCAGAAGAGGAGAGUGGAAUUCCAUGUGUAGCGGUGAAAUGCGUAGAUAUAUGGAGGAACACCAGUGGCGAAGGCGACUGUCUGGUCUGUAACUGACGCUGAGGUUCGAAAGCGUGGGUAGCAAACAGG